rnacentral:tRNA from 1 species
GCCUGGGUAGCUCAGGGGUAGAGCAGUGGAUUGAAAAUCCUCGUGUCGGUGGUUCAAAUCCGCCCCUGGGCA